UACAGAGGGUGCAAGCGUUGUUCGGAAUUACUGGGCGUAAAGGGCUCGUAGGUGGCCAACUAAGUCAGACGUGAAAUCCCCAGGCUCAACUUGGGAACUGCGUCUGAUACUGGAUGGCUUGAAUUCGGGAGAGGGAUGCAGAAUUCCAGGUGUAGCGGUGAAAUGCGUAGAUAUCUGGAGGAAUACCGGUGGCGAAGGCGGCAUCCUGGACCGAGAUUGACACUGAUGAGCGAAAGCUAGGGGAGCAAACGGG
rnacentral:rRNA from 1 species